rnacentral:rRNA from 1 species
UACGUAGGGUGCGAGCGUUAAUCGGAAUUACUGGGCGUAAAGCGUGCGCAGGCGGCGCGUUAAGACAGGUGUGAAAGCCCCGAGCUUAACUUGGGAAUUGCGCUUGUGACUGGCGUGCUGGAGUGUGGCAGAGGGGAGGUGGAAUUCCACGUGUAGCAGUGAAAUGCGUAGAGAUGUGGAGGAACACCGAUGGCGAAGGCAGCCCUCCUGGGCCAGCACUGACGCUCAUGCACGAAAGCGUGGGGGAGCAAACA